GCAGCAGUUAGUCAGCACACAGCAUAGACAUGAGAACCCCUGCUCAGCUCCUGGGGCUCUUGCUGCUCUGCUUCCCAGGUGCCAGAUGUGACAUCCAGAUGACCCAGACUCCAUCUUCCCUGUCUGCAUCUCUAGGAGACACAGUCACCAUCAAUUGCAGGGCCAGUCAGGGCAUUAGCAGUUGGUUAGCCUGGUAUCAGCAGAAACCAGGGAAAGCUCCCAAACUGCUGAUAUAUGAAGCAUCUAAUUUAGAAUCAGGUGUCCCAUCCAGGUUCAGUGGCAGUGAAUCUGGGACAGAUUACUCUCUCACCAUCAGCAGCCUGCAGCCUGAAGAUGCUGCCUCUUAUUUCUGUCAACAGUAUGAUGAGUUACCUCCCACAGUGGUACAGGUCAAAACAAAAACCUCUCAGUGAAGCAGAAGUGAGAGGCUAGGCUGUCUAAGCUACUCCUGUUUCCUCCACCAGCUGAAAGAGCUUCUCAGACACAGAAAGACUCUCAGGGUCACUUGA